UCCCUGGUGGUCCAGUGGCUAAGACUCUGUGCUCCCAAUGCAGACAAGCCCAGGUUCAAUCCCUGGUCAGGAAA
rnacentral:tRNA from 1 species